rnacentral:rRNA from 1 species
UACGUAGGGCGCAAGCGUUGUCCGGAAUUAUUGGGCGUAAAGAGCUCGUAGGCGGUUUGUCGCGUCUGCUGUGAAAACCUAAGGCUCAACCUUGGGCUUGCAGUGGGUACGGGCAGACUAGAGUGCGGUAGGGGUGACUGGAAUUCCUGGUGUAGCGGUGGAAUGCGCAGAUAUCAGGAGGAACACCGAUGGCGAAGGCAGGUCACUGGGCCGCAACUGACGCUGGAGGAAGCGGAAAGCAUGGGGAGCGAACAGGA